GAUGAACGCUGGCGGCGUGCCUAAUACAUGCAAGUCGAGCGAACAGACGAGGAGCUUGCUCCUCUGACGUUAGCGGCGGACGGGUGAGUAACACGUGGAUAACCUACCUAUAAGACUGGGAUAACUUCGGGAAACCGGAGCUAAUACCGGAUGAUAUAUUGAACCGCAUGGUUCAAUAGUGAAAGACGGUUUUGCUGUCACUUAUAGAUGGAUCCGCGCUGCAUUAGCUAGUUGGUAAGGUAACGGCUUACCAAGGCGACGAUGCGUAGCCGACCUGAGAGGGUGAUCGGCCACACUGGAACUGAGACACGGUCCAGACUCCUACGGGAGGCAGCAGUAGGGAAUCUUCCGCAAUGGGCGAAAGCCUGACGGAGCAACGCCGCGUGAGUGAUGAAGGUCUUCGGAUCGUAAAACUCUGUUAUUAGGGAAGAACAAAUGUGUAAGUAACUAUGCACGUCUUGACGGUACCUAAUCAGAAAGCCACGGCUAACUACGUG
rnacentral:rRNA from 1 species